rnacentral:misc_RNA from 1 species
UUUCCGUAGGUGAACCUGCGGAAGGAUCAUUAAAGAGAAUAUGCCCUUCGGGGUAGAUCUCCCACCCUUUGUUUAUAUUACCUUUGUUGCUUUGGCAGGCCCGUCUUCGGACCACCGGCUUCGGCUGGUCAGUGCUUGCCAGAGGACCCAAAACUCUUAUUAUUAAUGUCGUCUGAGUACUAUAUAAUAGUUAAAACUUUCAACAACGGAUCUCUUGGUUCUGGCAUCGAUGAAAACGCAGC